AUUUCGCGGGGUAAGGUUUCUGAACGAUAUUGCUCAGAUCUGAGUUUUCCCCUACGUGAAUCGACCCUAAAAUGUUGAAAUCUUCACCUAGGAACAACUCACGCACGGUCUGCGAAGAAGUUUGGCCGAGACCUCAACCCAAAGACGGAGAUCCGAGGGUUAUCCGAGAACGGGACUUAAUUUAGAGAAAUCAGUAGUUUUGGACACCUCACGGGCAAAGAAACGCUAGCGAAAGGGCACGCGUCAACCAGGUAAGUCACCACCCGGUAUUUAGGAAGAAAUACUUGUAGGAUUCGCUAGGAUUGCAUGCAUGCUAGUAGUUCUGCUUCAGAUUAGCUCUUCAUGAGCGCGAGGCGUCGGUCAAGAGUGGGCGUGAUCUGAAGGGAAUUGUCACAGAGGGAUGGGUUGUCCCGGGGCGUCAGUCCAGUCUUAGUCUUUAUUUUUGUAUUCGCAUUCCUUUUAAAUUUAUUUUCCAAACGGUAUUGUGUUCUGUGUUAUCGUUCGAAAAACUUUAUUGAAAUUUGAUGAUUUUUGCUACUUCAUAUUUAAAUCUCUUGUGCGUCUGUGUCGUGUCGUUGGUCACUGUCCGUAGUAAAAUAUUGGGCUGUGACAUUAGACCUCUAAUUCCUCUUUUU